rnacentral:rRNA from 1 species
UACGUAGGGUGCAAGCGUUAAUCGGAAUUACUGGGCGUAAAGCGUGCGCAGGCGGUUUUGUAAGUUUGUCGUGAAAGCCCCGGGCUCAACCUGGGAAUUGCGAUGAAGACUGCAAGGCUUGAAUCUGGCAGAGGGGGGUAGAAUUCCACGUGUAGCAGUGAAAUGCGUAGAGAUGUGGAGGAACACCGAUGGCGAAGGCAGCCCCCUGGGUCAAGAUUGACGCUCAUGCACGAAAGCGUGGGAGCAAACAGG